CAUUGGCUCAANCAAUGUAUGCUUUGGAAACUGUUAGACUUGAGUGCAGAAGGGGAGAGUGGAAUUCCAUGUGUAGCGGUGAAAUGCGUAGAUAUAUGGAGGANCACCGGUGGCGAAAGCGGCUCUCUGGUCUGUCACUGACGCUGAGGCUCGAAAGCGUGGGUAGCGAACAGGAUUGGAUACCCUGGUAGUNCACGCCGUAAACGCUGAGUGCUAGGUGUUAGGUCCUUUCCGGGACUUAGUGCCGACGCUAACGCAUUAAGCACUCCGCCUGGGGAGUACGACCGCAAGGUUGAAACUCAAAGGAAUUGACGGGGGCCCGCACAAGCGGUGGAGCAUGUGGUUUAAUUCGAAGCAACGCGAAGAACCUUACCAGGUCUUGACAUCCCGAUGCCCGCUCUAGAGAUAGAGUUUUUCUUCGGAACAUCGGAGACAGGUGGUGCAUGGUUGUCGUCAGCUCGUGUCGUGAGAUGUUGGGUUAAGUCCCGCAACGAGCGCAACCCUUAUUGUUAGUUGCCAUCAUUAAGUUGGGCACUCUAGCGAGACUGCCGGUGAUAAACCGGAGGAAGGUGGGGAUGACGUCAAAUCAUCAUGCCCCUUAUGACCUGGGCUACACACGUGCUACAAUGGUUGGUACAACGAGUCGCAAGCCGGUGACGGCAAGCUAAUCUCUGAAAGCCAAUCUCAGUUCGGAUUGUAGGCUGCAACUCGCCUACAUGAAGUCGGAAUCGCUAGUAAUCGCGGAUCAGCACGCCGCGGUGAAUACGUUCCCGGGCCUUGUACACACCGCCCGUCACACCACGAGAGUUUGUAACACCCAAAGUCGGUGAGGUAACCAUUUAUGGGGCCAGCCGCC
rnacentral:rRNA from 1 species